rnacentral:rRNA from 1 species
CCUACGGGUGGCAGCAGUGAGGAAUAUUGGUCAAUGGGCGCGAGCCUGAACCAGCCAAGUAGCGUGAAGGAUGACUGCCCUACGGGUUGUAAACUUCUUUUCUAAAGGAAUAAGGUGAGGCACGUGUCCCUGUUUUUAGGUACUUUAUGAUAAAUGAUCGGCUAACUCGGUGCCAGCAGCCGCGGUAAUACGUAGGAUCCGAGCGGGAGCCGGAUUUAUUGGGUUUAAAGGGAGCGUAGAUGGGAUGUUAAGUCAGUUGUGAAAGUUUGCGGCUCAACCAUAAAAUUGCAAUUGAUACUGGCAGCCUUGAGUGCAGUUGAGGUAGGCGGAAUGCGUGGUGUAGCGGUGAAAUGCUUAGAUAUAACGAAGAACUCCGAUUGCGAAGGCAGACUACUAAACUGUCACUGACGUUGAUGCUCGAAAGUGUGGGUAUCAAACAGGAUUAGAUACCCCAGUAGUC